rnacentral:rRNA from 1 species
UGCAGUCGUACGCUUCUUUUUCCACCGGAGCUUGCUCCACCGGAAAAAGAAGAGUGGCGAACGGGUGAGUAACACGUGGGUAACCUGCCCAUCAGAAGGGGAUAACACUUGGAAACAGGUGCUAAUACCGUAUAACAAUCGAAACCGCAUGGUUUUGAUUUGAAAGGCGCUUUCGGGUGUCGCUGAUGGAUGGACCCGCGGUGCAUUAGCUAGUUGGUGAGGUAACGGCUCACCAAGGCCACGAUGCAUAGCCGACCUGAGAGGGUGAUCGGCCACAUUGGGACUGAGACACGGCCCAAACUCCUACGGGAGGCAGCAGUAGGGAAUCUUCGGCAAUGGACGAAAGUCUGACCGAGCAACGCCGCGUGAGUGAAGAAGGUUUUCGGAUCGUAAAACUCUGUUGUUAGAGAAGAACAAGGAUGAGAGUAACUGUUCAUCCCUUGACGGUAUCUAACCAGAAAGCCACGGCUAACUACGUGCCAGCAGCCGCGGUAAUACGUAGGUGGCAAGCGUUGUCCGGAUUUAUUGGGCGUAAAGCGAGCGCAGGCGGUUUCUUAAGUCUGAUGUGAAAGCCCCCGGCUCAACCGGGGAGGGUCAUUGGAAACUGGGAGACUUGAGUGCAGAAGAGGAGAGUGGAAUUCCAUGUGUAGCGGUGAAAUGCGUAGAUAUAUGGAGGAACACCAGUGGCGAAGGCGGCUCUCUGGUCUGUAACUGACGCUGAGGCUCGAAAGCGUGGGGAGCAAACAGGAUUAGAUACCCUGGUAGUCCACGCCGUAAACGAUGAGUGCUAAGUGUUGGAGGGUUUCCGCCCUUCAGUGCUGCAGCUAACGCAUUAAGCACUCCGCCUGGGGAGUACGACCGCAAGGUU